rnacentral:rRNA from 1 species
CAGCCGCCGCGGGAAUACGUAGGGUGCAAGCGUUAAUCGGAAUUACUGGGCGUAAAGCGUGCGCAGGCGGUUCGUUAAGAUAGAUGUGAAAUCCCCGGGCUUAACCUGGGAACUGCAUUUGUGACUGGCGGGCUAGAGUAUGGCAGAGGGGGGUAGAAUUCCACGUGUAGCAGUGAAAUGCGUAGGGAUGUGGAGGAAUACCGAUGGCGAAGGCAGCCCCCUGGGCCAAUACUGACGCUCAUGCACGAAAGCGUGGGGAGCAAACAGGAUUAGAUACCCGUGUAGUCCCUGUCUCUUAUAC